AUGGCCGACUUGUUGCUCCGCCUCACGCUGACCUGUGCUCGCCUUAUGGCCGAACUGUUGCUCCGAGUCCGCCUGACGAGCCACCUGUUUCUCCGGAUCUGUUUCUCCGCCUAACGGCGACGUGUUUCUCCGGACCUGUUUCUCCGCCUAACGGCGACCUGUUUCUCCGGACCUGUUUCUCCGCCUAACGCCCGAGCUGUUGCUCCGCCUAACUCCUGACCUGUGCUCGCCUCACGCCCGACAUGUUGCUCCACCUCACGCCCAGCCUGUUGAUCGGUGGACGGGUAAGCGCGCAUGGCAUCGGAAGGAGCUCGAAAAGUAUAAGAUGGAUAAUUGCGUGAAAAUCAAACUAAAAGAAUGCAAUCUUGAGGAGUUAAUCCCCACAUUUGAAGCACAGGAGCGAACCUUUCCUCGUUUUUAGGUCAAUUUGAAUACAAUUCAGAGGGGUGGCAUGGGGGCGCAGUGGGUAGUGCUGUCGCAUCACAGCAAGAUGGUCGCUGGUUUGAGCCUUGGAUGGGUUUCCCCUCCACAGUCCAAUGACAUGCGGUGUAGCUGAAUUGGAUUGGGACCAAUAUUGCUGAGUAUCUUCAUCCAUUGAAUUCAAGAAUCUAUUGAGUUUCCUCAUGUUCUCAUCCUUGGAGACCACCACUUCUUUCAAGCCUUUGCUCACGUGCUGUGCUAUUUAUUAUUGCAAAGUACAUUACUUGCCAAAGUGGACGUUUGCUAUAAAGCAUUCUACAUCUUUGGUGUGAACUACCCCAAGCAGUGUUCCCUGGUGUGGCAGACUGUGGUUUAUGGACAUCCUGGGGAGGAGACACUAGCAGUAAGGGUUCUGCUAGCAUUAAUUUUUGCUGACAAACAGUAAUAAUUAAUACUGUGACCUCACUGCUUCCUUGGAUUCUGUGUUCUUUAACUUGUACUUUGGAUUGUGGGGGAAAAGGAGCACCCAGAGAAAACCCACACGAACACGGGGAAAACAUGCAAACUCCACACAGAAACACCAACUGACCCAGCUGAGGCUUAAACCACCGACCUUGUUGCUGUGAGGCAAUCGUACUACCCAGUGUGCCACCAUGACACCCAUUUCUAAAGAAUAGUUUUAAUAACUCAUUUCUAAUAACUGAUUUCUUUUCUCUUUGCUAUGAUGACGGCACAUAAUAAUGGACUCGAUAUUUUUUAAGACACUCUACACUGCAGUUACAUUGCAACUAAUGUUUCUUACAGACUCUUUUAUAUCUCAGGAUUGAUGUUUGCACAUGAUUGUUCGAGUAAAAGUUAAAAAAAGUUUUCCUAUUUCAAAUUUGUUUUAAAAUGCUUCCAUCCUCAGGUUUCAUUUUAACUUUUAUAUCUGUUUUUUCUUCAAAACUGCAUUUACAUUGAACUUGAUCAUCCUUACUGAUGAUUGCUUUAUAGCUCAUAUAUUGAUGUUUGCACAUAAUUGUUAAAGGGAAAGUUAUAAAAUGUUUUCUUAUUUUUUCUUAAUAUAAAAUUUGUAUUUUCUUAGUUUUUAUUGUUUGUUUUGUUUUUUCAAGCUGUUUGAUGCCUUUUCAUUAUUACUUUCACAUAUUUUUUUCUGCAUUGCAGUUGAUGAUUUAUAUGAGAAUAUGUUGAUGUUUGUGCUCAAAUUACUUUCUGACUUCAGUCAUUUAGAUGCAUUUUCAUUAUUACUUCCUUAUACUAUUGUUUUUCUCUACUCUGCAAUAACAUUGCAAUUGCCUUACUGAUGAUUCCUGAUUUAUAAAUGAUGCAAAUGUUUUUGAAUGUAUUUCAAAUAUGCAUUUUCUUAAGGUAAUUUGUCUGAUUUCAGUCUGAUGCAUUGUUACUGAACUUUAGUCAGUGUUUCUGUGAUACAGUUUGAUAAAUUUUCACAGAAAUCGUCUUAACCCUUUAACAACCCUUUCAAGAAAAAAAAAA
ensembl:lincRNA crhr2 corticotropin releasing hormone receptor 2